rnacentral:miRNA from 1 species
CCUGGAACUCACCAUGUAGACCAGGCUGGCCUCAAACUCACAGAGAUCUGCCUGCCUCUGCCUCCUGAGUGCUGGAAU